rnacentral:rRNA from 1 species
UGCUUUUUGAAGUUAUAAAAAGUACAUCCUGCCCAGUGAGUAAUUUAACGGCCGCGGUAUAUUGACCGUGCAAAGGUAGCAUAAUCAUUUGCCUUUUAAUUGAAGGCUGGAAUGAAUGGAUAAACAAAAAUAUAUCUGUCUUAAAUUAAUUAUUAAAAAUUAAUUUUUAGGUGAUGAAGCCUAAAUAAAGCUAAAAGACAAAAAGACCCUAUUGAGCUUUAUUUAAAUUUAUAUAUAAAGUUAGAGUAUUUAUAUAAUAAAAAAAAUUUGGUUGGGGCGACAUAGGAAUAAAUAAAUCUUCCUAAAUUCAUAUAAAAAUAAAUAAAAUCCUUAAAUAAGAAAAUAAAUUAGUUACCAUAGGGAUAACAGGCUAAUUUUUAUUAAGAGUUCAUAUUGACAUAAAAGAUUGGCACCUCGAUGUUGGCUUAAGGUAUCCUAUAAAUGUAGAAGUUUAUAAAGGUUAGUUUGUUCAACUAUUAAAACCUU